AGACAAUCUACUGAACAUUCCCUUCACUGCACCCACCCUUUUCCUUCAAGAAUUAUUAUGUAAUAAUUCAGCUGCAUUAUAUAAAUAGCAUCACUAUCUUUUUUAUGCAAUGCCUGCUGCUGUCUGCAGAGCAAUAUAUUUAACAUAGUGGAUCCUCGCUGCAUUUAAUAACCACAGGGAAAGAGCUACUAAAGACGGUUCUGAAAGAUGAAAAUGUUCUGUUGGAAAUAUAAUUGGUAAAAUGUGUGUAUAAAGGGAGAUAUGGAAAGGACAUUGAAC